rnacentral:rRNA from 3 species
AGCGAACGUAUCACUUAAAGCGAUUCAGCGGGUUACGAUUGACGGAGCGAAGCGACGUCAAAGCGUAUACAAAGUCGAGUCGGUUUAAGGAUACGUUCGUUGGGUAGGGGAGCGUUCUGUAAGCCUGUGAAGGUGUGUCGUGAGGCAUGCUGGAGGUAUCAGAAGUGCGAAUGCUGACAUAAGUAACGAUAAAGCGGGUGAAAAGCCCGCUCGCCGGAAGACCAA